GGAUUAGAUACCCUGGUAGUCCACGCCGUAAACGAUGUCAACUAGUCGUCGGUCGGGUUUAACCGUUCGGUGACGCAGCUAACGCAUUAAGUUGACCGCCUGGGGAGUACGCCGGCAACGGUAAAACUCAAAGUAAUUGACGGGGGCCCGCACAAGCGGUGGAGCAUGUGGUUUAAUUCGAUGCAACGCGAAGAACCUUACCUGGCCUUGACAUCCUGCGAACUUACUAGAGAUAGUUUGGUGCCUUCGGGAACGCAGUGACAGGUGCUGCAUGGCUGUCGUCAGCUCGUGCCG
rnacentral:rRNA from 1 species